UACAUGAUUUUUUAAAAUAUAUUUAUAAAAUAAUUUUUUACUUAUAUAAUUUUUAAGAAUUUCCUUCAAAUUGUUUAAAUAAAAAUAUAUUUAUCAAGCAAUAAACAACCUCAACAUGAAACCAUAUUUACCAUCCUAUGCAGAAAUGAUAUGCACCUCGCGAAUAAUCUUUAAAGAGCGUUUCGCGUGCCAUUACAUGACAGAUGUACUGUAUGUCAACAGCCACAAAAUGUCUUUCUGCUUAACCAUUUCUACCAGAAGGGGGACCAGUCCGUCUGCCGUAGACGGCGAGUGGCCGACCGCGAGCCGAGACAGAGGAGAAGCGAGGGUGAACGAGCCGACUUUGGGUUUAGAGUUCGACUCCCGAUCCGCAGACUAGCAGAUCCAGAAAUCCGCAUCUUGCCGUGAUCCCUAGGAUUUUAAUCAUGCCUCUCUGUCUGUGUGUGAGUGCAGGCAGGCUGACAAUGAUUUCCUCAGUGAUUACGUACAGAGCGAGUCCCUGCGGGGUAGGGGCCCCCUCUGGAGCCAUCCUGAUGGCUUUGGGGGCCUUGCUUCCAUUUUCCAUUAUUAUGUGGACUACCGGAGCGACAGCGCAGUCCAAGACCUUGCAGGUUUGUGAUGAGGAGGGAGCUUCCAUCUUCUCUCUGCUUCUUCAUCCUCUUUUAAAGCAAUUUAGACGUUGACUUAGAUCAGAUGCCGAACCUAUUAUAUGAUUAGCUUACCAGGCUGAGAAAAGGAAGAGUGUAUAAUAGUUUUGGGUCUGUUAGGUGGAUAUGCAGUGAAAAGUGUAUUUUUUUCUUUUUGGUUUUGUUGCAUUUUUGCCCUACUCUCACAGGACGCGUUGUUUGCUGAUGUCUUUCUCACGCGAUUGCAUUUGAGAUCAAAGACGAAAAGCAAAUAUUCCGCUUUUAUCAUAAACGAACAUCAUGCCCACACGCGACUCUGCUCCACCGGAGAAUGGAAGCGCAUGACGGAAUUACUAAAUUCUUCCACUUUUCCUGAUAACCGCUUCAACUAAAUAGAGAACUCAAACACGAUUGGGACCUAAUUGGAUUUAAUCCUAAACCAUCUACAUUCUCCCCAACACUAAACACCCUAAACUCGCGUCUACAUCCAUCGUAGGGGGCUACGGCAAAGAGCGACAUCUUUUUGUAAUGAUAAAUAGGAACGCGCGAUUCUGCUCCGGAGAUUUAAAGAGAGUACGUCUUACGAUAUUCCGAUCCCAGUGCACACGCAUUACACGAGAAACUGAGCUUGAACUUCAGCGUUUUCUAAUAGGAUGUCGCGCCGCAAGCAAGCUAAACCAAGAUCACUGAAAGAUCCCCAGUGUGCCACAGAGAGGGCUACCGCCGGCGACGACGAUGGCGAGGACGGCGGCCGUGUGAGGAAGAGGAGGCAUCUCUCUCCGGAGGAAGGGGAGGAGGGCGAAGAGGAAGACGAGGAGCCCGCGCUGCACAGCUGCGACAGCUGCCGGCAGGUGUUCGAGUCGCUGAGCGAUCUCACCGAACACAAGAUUAAUCAAUGCCAGCUGACAGGUAAACAACACUCAGCCACUCACCGGAAAAAAAAUGAAAAAACGUCAGGCCCCUCCACUCUGUGCCACGCUGCCGCCGCCGCUGCUGCUGCUGCGGCUGCACCUCACUCCCACUCUGCACUCCUCACUCCCACGCCACUGCUCCUGCAGAGCAUACGCCACACUGUGCGUCGGGUGCACACUGCACCACAGGGGAGGCUGGAGGGAGGGAGGGAGGGAGGGAGGGAGGCGGGCGGUUGGGUGAGGAUGACGGGGGCGGAGAGAGAGAGAGAGAGCAAGAGGGGAAGGCAAAGCAACAUCAGUCACCUAACCGUCUGCCUUGGAAGUCUGUCCGACUACCAUCGUAUUUAAGUGUAUAUGUAAAUGUCCACGAAUGCCACAUGCGGGUAUACAAUCUAAACGCAGGCAUGUUGGAUUGUGCCUACACACAUGCACACACCUAAACACACUCACACACAACCCAGAGCAUAAUUCUUAUUUAAGAUAUAGACUAUGUACUGUAGAUAUGUGUAUAUAUAUAUAUAUAUACAUUUGUCUCACAAGAAGGAGUGUCCCCAUGUUAACCCACCAUAAAGGGGGUGCGGUCUCUCCACCUCACCAUGAUAAAGGAAGAACACAUUACGCCCCCCACCAGUCCCACUAGUAUACAGAGUGGUACCUAGUGGGGGCGACGGAGAAGGGUGCUAUUGACCUCCUGAUGGAUGAAUGGGUCUAUAAAUACCCUGACAAGGUGGCAGACAGGACUAAUGAUGUGCACGGAAGGUUUCUGUGUGCAUGCGCCGGAUGCGCUGUCCUCCUUUUACAUGUCCUGAUGGACCCAUGUUGAGAGGCACACAGGCUGACGUGAAGUUACCAAUGUUUAGACUCACACACAGAGGCUUCUUCCUGCCUUUCUCUCCGGCGUUCUGUCUUUCCGUCUCCCUUUCUCUCUUUCGUGGUUCAUUUCUGGAUUUCUGGAUUUCUUGCUCUCGCUUUCUCUCUCGAUUUGUUUUUAAUGGUUUAUUUCUCUUUUUCUUUUUCAUUAAUUUUUUCUUUCUCUUGGUUUGUUGGUCUCUUUCUUUCUUUCUCAUACAAACACACCUGAAAUAAAACAAUUCUGUUUCUGCUUAUUUUCAGUCCCAAAAGUUCUCGUCUUAAAGCCUCACAUGAAUACUCGAUGAAAUGAACAAUAACUUAACAACUUCUCAUUCUGACUCUUUGUUUAUCCAUUCAUCCUGCUGUGUUGAAUGUCAGGGUAUGAUCCAUUUAGGCUUUUUGGGGUAAAGCAGGAAGGAAACUUUUGGUUUACCCUUGAGGUUUCCAAUAGUACAUUCAAAAUUCUCCCAAAACAAAAAGAUCUUGGUCUAGUCUUGGGUUUGUUUGGAUUCAUGCAUGGCUCUGUUUCAUUUUUUUUUACAAACCACAAUUGGCAACCCACAAAUUACAGGGUAGGAAUUGCUCUGAGAAUUCUCGUGUUUCCUUAGAAAACCCUCAAAAACAUAAUUCACGUGAAUCUUACAAAGAUUUUCCAUAAACUGAAGACUACCACAAUGACCAAAUAGUUGCAAGGCAACUCAAGUUGCAUCUUUCCCCUCACUUGUGAUUGGUAUCAAAAUACAAUACAUCCACAAUAUAACGCAUUAUAUCCUCUGCAUUCCUAUUCAACGGGCUUGUGCACAUCCUUCCACAGUUUGUAUGUGUACAUUGGUAAAUUGUACACUGUGUUGUUGGUGCUAAUCUAAGUGACCCACCCCCCUCAUACACACACUCUAUGAAAGGUGUGAAAAUCAAUUCAAUGUUCACUUUGACAUUACAUAUCCAACAGGAGCACUCCUUCCUUUGAGUUCAGCUAAGUGCAGAGCUCCUAGACACCUUUUAGUUCAAUACAUGCACCAAUGCAUCAAGACCUGUAUUGAUUCCAUGACACACCGCUUGGCAUACCAAUGAAUUCAUAACACAAAGGGUGCAAACUCCAAUACUGUUGUCUUGGAGACAAUCGUAACUAUUCUAAUCAAAACCUAUGGAUGCCUCCAUCGAUGCCUGUAUUACCUUCAGUCCCCACUUGCUGCACCAUGUAUUCCAGAGAGUAGGUGCUCCAACUUCACUGCAUAACAUGACCAGGUACAGGUCUACUCUCAAACUUUAUUCCAUCCUCAUAAUGAUCAAUCCUGAAGUAUUAUUUUUCCCACCUAUAAUUAAGCCGGGCCUUUAGAAGUGUCAAUCUUAUGGACAAAUAACUCUUAAUUGCUCGACAUAAAAAUGCAAAAAAAUGAAAAAGUAGGAAAGAGGGGAAAAAGGCAUUUGGCUAAGAGCCCCUGUGGAAACCAAACAAAAGAAUCUAAUUGCCAUUAGGGUAUUGUGAUUGUGCAGAAACACUCUAUUAGUAUUCAAACACAGUGGGAGAAAAGAAACUUCUAGAUGGCAUACAAAGUAGUGUGUGUGUGUGUGUGUGUGUGUGUGUGUGUGUGUGUGUGUGAGAGAGCAUGUUUUUCUCUGAAAUAUGGGAGGAGAUUUCCUAUGUGGCAUUAUGUCGACAUCCAUGACCAAUUAAUCUGCCUUACAUCAAGUCUCUACUCGCAGAUGGAUCCUUUAUUAAAACCAUUUUCUAAUCAACCAUCGGCACCUGCUAAUUUUUGUUUCAUAUUUUGGUAAACAAAUCUUGGUUGACUGGAACCAAUCCACGUUUAAUCAUUUGUUUACAAUUCGCCGACCAUACUAAGUGCUUUUUCUCCACCAACGAUAGUCCCUUAAGUGUACCCGACCAGGGCUCGUAAAUGGGCACGCACGUGCAUGUGCACAGUCACACGGUAACACAGGCGAGCAGACACAUGUGCAAAAUGCCAGCUCGGAUGUGCGACUCUUUCAGGUCUCAUUAUAGGUCGCCCUGCUGUCGCACGGUCGCACCUCCGCAGCCGCAACAAAGGGCGAGCUAAACAGACAAGUUUCCAAAUACUAAAUAGACCCCAGCAUUGUGUCGGCCACGCCUGGCAGAGAGAGAGGGAGAGAGAUGUUACAUGUCACCCAGAUCAAUGGCGGCCAUUGUCUCCCCCUGUCUGGCAGAGGUAUAACACCUCUCCGUGCACUUAAGCCGCGACCACUGCAGUGCGCUAAGGGAGUGCACGGGUAUGGAUUGCCUCGUGUCCCCGAUGCGAUCGGUGCUAUCGAUCGCCCUAAUGCCGGACUGCAGAGGAAGGCGCGGGCCUGAGGAAAGGCGGCGAGAGGAGGAGAAGGAGGGAGGAGGGAGAGAGCCAGAGAGCCAGAGGGAGAGAGAGUGCUGCAGGAAUGUGUCCCCAGGGAGCCCGUCUUGGGCUGGGGCAGGGCUUCAGGAAUGCUCCCCAGGAGACCCCAGUGAAGGCUGGGGCAGGGCUGGAAGAAUGCUCCUCUGGAGGGUUGAGAGAGUGGAGGCUGGCUGGGGUAGGGCCGCAGGAAAAAAUGUCCUCCAUUCCCCCCCACCUACCCCAAGAGGUCUCUCUCUCUCUCUCUCUCUCUCUUUCUCUCUCCCUCCGCCUCUCCCCUCCUUCUCUCGUCUAAGGCGGACGAUGUGGAGAGACUCUGGGGGUGGGUGGAGAGAGUGAGAGACUUCUGGGUGACCGGGUGCAUGCACCACCACCACCACCACCACCCCCACCCCCACCCCCUCCCUGCGGCUCCAGGAUGGCGGAGGAUCAGGUUUCCGUGUGGGGAUCAUCAUCCUGCCGACAGGGCUCUGGGCUGCCCUGGGGAGCAGGCCAGAGUGUCGGCCAGGCAGCCCAGCUCCAAGCGCUGCGCCUUAAAGCGCACAACCGCUUCUCAAAUGCUGCUGUACUGUAGUUUAUCGUCCGGCCCCGGUCCGGUAUCGUUACCCAUCCUUGGCAGACUUUGGGGGCUGGGAGGGGGGGGGGGGGGGGGUGUACAGUGUCUGUUUUUUGUGUGUUUUGAAUCUGGAAUAUGGGGGAAAAGAUGGGAGCGUGUGCACGAGACAACGGGAUUGGAAGUCUAGAGGAAGAGAGGGAGGACUAAUUCGAGGCACGCCGGCCCCUCAGAAAGAUCCAGGCCCCCAGUUCAUUUCCUCUUCUCUUUACCGACGGACCCACAUAGUAAAUAAAAAGAACACCUCCGGCUCCCAAUUUAAUUCAACAGCCCCGUAUUUUCUGUGACGGUUUUCACUGUCGGUCGCCAGCUGUCGAUGCAUUUGAAUAGUACACACACACACACACACACACACACACACACACACACACACACACACACACACACACACACACACACACACACA